GGGCGCGUAGCUCAGGGGUAGAGCGUCGCCCUUACAAGGCGAAUGUCGGCGGUUCGAAACCGUCCGCGCCCA
rfam:Streptomyces sp. SPB74 genomic scaffold supercont3.1, whole genome shotgun sequence.